rnacentral:ncRNA from 2 species
UACAGAGGGGGCAAGCGUUAUUCGGAAUUAUUGGGCGUAAAGGGCGCGUAGGCGGCCAGGCAAGUGGAAGGUGAAAUCCCUCGGCUCAACCGAGGAACUGCCCUCCAAACUGCCGAGCUCGAGUCCGGGAGAGGUGAGUGGAAUUCCCAGUGUAGCGGUGAAAUGCGUAGAUAUUGGGAGGAACACCAGUGGCGAAGGCGGCUCACUGGACCGGAACUGACGCUGAGGCGCGAAAGCGUGGGGAGCAAACGGG